rnacentral:rRNA from 1 species
GAGCGCUUUAGGGCCGGUACUUUGGACGGACCGUGUGAGCGACGAAUUUUGGACUACCGCGUGGGGAAUCUGCCUUUGAGCGGGGGACGACAUUUGGAAACAAAUGCUAAUACCGCAUAGAAACUUUAUGCUAAGUUUUAAGUUUGAAAGAUGCGUUGCAUCACUCAAAGAUGAUCCCGCGUUGUAUUAACUUCUUGGUGAAGCUGCGGCUCACCAAGGCGAUGAUACAUAGCCGACCUGACAGGGUGAUCGGCCACAUUGGAACUGAGACACGGACCGGCUCCUAGGGGAGGAGAACGGGGAAUCUUCGGCAAUGAACGAAAGUCUGACCGAUUCCGCCUGGUGAGUGAAGAAGAUUUUCGGAUCGUAAAACUCUGUUGGUAGAUUCAACUCUGGUGAUCUGUGUUCUCAAAAGUGACGGGACUACCCUGUUGGACGGCUAACUACUUGCCCCACCGCGCUAAUAAUACGUCCCGAGCGUUGUCCGGAUUUAUUGGGCGUAAAGCGAGCGCAGGUUUUUAGUAAGUCUGGUGUAAAAGGCGUGUCUCAACCACUGUAUGCAUUGCAUCUGGUA